rnacentral:tRNA from 6 species
CGGGGCGUAGCGCAGCCCGGUAGCGCAUCUGCUUUGGGAGCAGAGGGUCGUGAGUUCGAAUCCCACCGCCCCGACCA